GAAAGAAGUUCCAAGAACCAGGACGACAUUUGCAGGGUUUUUUUUUUGUUUGUUUUUUUUUAGAACUUUAGAAUUUUACUUAAAACAGGAAGGUGUCUGGUCAACCUUGUGCCAACUGUCUCCAUUAACAGGGAACUGAAGUCAUUUUGUUUCGAGAACCAAGCUUUUCCAGAAAGGCACCUGAGCUGUUCCCAGUGCUCAGCCAUGCUUCUGGUCCUCAUCUCAUUCCUGGGGAUACAUUAUUUCCUGGGAGGUGUCCAAACACAGACAGUUUCUCAGUCCGAUGCCCAUAUCACUGUCUUUGAAGGAGACUCCGUGGAGCUGAGAUGCAAGUAUUCUUAUGGUAGAACCCCUUACCUCUUCUGGUACAUCCAGCACCAUGGCCAUGGCCUCCAGUUUCUCCUCAAAUACUAUACAGGAGACCCUGUGGUUCAUGGUAUGAACGGCUUUGAGGCUGAAUUCAGCAAGAGCAACUCUUCCUUCCACCUGAGGAAAGCCUCUGUGCACUGGAGUGACUCAGCUGUGUACUUCUGUGCCCUGGGUGCACAGUGUCUGGGGCUGCAGGGGGAGCUGAUCACAAACCUGUAAGAUGCUGAGGAAGAUUCUGCAGCUGAGCGACUCUCGAUCAUUCACGCUCAUCAUCCAUGUAAGGACUAAGUAAACUCAUUGGUUCUCCAAGUUGGACUUCUCUGGAAUUAUUUUGCUCUAUCCUUGGAACCUUAUGUGGGGUAUAUGCACAUUUGAUCAUGGCUCCCAGGAAAAGUGACAUAGCAAGAAAAAAAAAUCAUUAAAUAGCCCUUGGGACACGAUUGCCUUCUUAAUGUUUGUUUUGUAGGUUGCAUUUUCUAAUGACUGAUUACUUCCAUUAGACUUAAGAUACAACUCAGUUCUACAUAACCAGUAGCUGCAGUGGGU
rnacentral:lncRNA from 14 species